UUAAACAGCUGGUGAAGGAUUGGGAUUCCCUGCUCUCUACUUGACCUCUCUACUUGCUGCUUUUUUUUUUUCCUUUUUCUUUUUUUCUUUUUUUUAGGGGCCCUAGUUGCCCCACUCUUGUAGCCUAGUUCAUCUAUUCAAUGAAUGAAGCGGGUAGCGUGCCACCUUUUUCUCAAAAAAAAAAACAAAAAAACAAUGGAACAAGUUUACUACUGAUAGUACACCUUCUCA
rnacentral:lncRNA from 1 species